rnacentral:misc_RNA from 1 species
GUCAUUUCAUUUUUUCUAAGUUUUAGUCUUGAAGUUUAAAAACAUCCAACGAUAAAUGAAAUUUACCCCAAAUUACUACAACUGCCAUCCUUAUUAUAUUACUUGUCUGAAACAGAAAUAAUUGAAUCGAAAAGAUUAAUGCACAUAGAACAAACUGACAAUCAAAACCAAUCUCGCUUGUGGACAAAAAUCUCUCAAUGUUGGCAAAAAUCUCUUGGUUCACAUCCUUGAGAUUUGAUCUAGUUAAAAGGAUGACAUAAUAGUUCAACAAAAUACAGAACAUGGUACGGGAAAAUUCCAUAUGUCAUCCAAUACAUUGUACAUAAAAUCACUCACUUUUGAAGGAAAGAUGCCAAUUUGCUCUCAAUUUCUUCUUUGGCCUGUCUAUCAAAUGGGUCCUCACCCAUAUACAGAUCUAAAAUUGAUCGACAAAGGAGUUUGCUUUGGAUACUUCCCACCUCUUUCCCAUCAACUACAGAAAUUGAAUGGAAAUGAAAUUAGAAAAGCUUUACUUGAUGUUGCAAUAAAAAAUACAAGGAUUUAUGAUAUAACAAAAUUGUCAAUCCAUUUGCACAGAUGUACUAUCAAAAACUGAAAAUUUCCUGCAUGAAAGCAUAUAUAGUUUACUACUUAUCCUCCACAGCACUCAGAUAUUUGCUUGGUCAUGUAUACAUUGUCAUUUUAGAUCACUUCAUUUUAUCAGGGUCAAAAUGCAGUACCCUCACAAAAGUACUUUAACAAGAAUGGCUUAUGUUUUGCUCGAAAUCAUAUUAAGUGUUGAGCACGUAGAUAUUGUAGGUGUCUGAUACAUGUUUGGCAAGAAUAUAGUUGUGUUAUGGGUCAGAGUAACAAAAAAUUGAAAAGUUGCCUGAUGUUUAUUUAAGACAAUAGGUUUUCCAUAAAGAUAAUUCAAUCCAUAUGCUUUAUCUUGUGAUGGGGUUUACGAUAUAACACCAUAUGACCAUUUGACCACUUCAAGGUUCCAUCAUUCUCAUUUUUAUUCUCUACCACUGGUUCACUAUUUUUCAAAAUCCAGUAAAGAUUAUCGAUUACUAUCUUUAUGUAGGCACACUCAAAUCCUCAUUCAAAGUUCAAUUUGUUGGGUCACAUGCAGAUAUCAAAGCUUUGGCGACUCCAAUUAUGUUCUAGAAAAAUCAUCAAAACAGUCAAAGCUGAAAUUAGAUUACGUAUUUUAACAAUAUCAAAAUAAAAUUAAAUUUAGAAUCAUGGAUAAGAUAGCCAAUCAUGGGGUAAGUUAACUUGAAACUUUCUUCAGAAAACAUAACAAGAGAAAAGGAGGUCUUACUUCUUGUUCGAAGCACAUGGCCUUGAUCCUUUGAGAGCUCUAUCACAGAACCCCUCGGUAUUUUAUAUUCAUCCUUAAAUUGAGAAGUGAACCUCUGAAGCAAUUCCUUGUUAUCUGGCCCCCCGAACUUUUGCAGUCUGCUUCCAACAGAUUCUUCAAAAGCACUUCGAACAGAGCGAAUGCUUAGUUUACCAUAGACUAUCUGAAGUCGAACGGUCAUGCCAAUAUCACCUCCCAUGAGAUCCCCUUUGAACUCUUUGUUUUCCUUAAGUUCAGAAAUUGAUAGCUUUCCAUAUUUCUCACCCAGGACUUUUUUCACUUCAUUAUCAUCAGCAUAAACACCAAAUGCAUAGACAUCAAUGUUCUUCAAUCCCAAAAUACUCUUUCUCCUCAACCCCAUUCCCAAAAGUCUCCGCGAUUGAGAAGCAACAGAGGGAAAUGAUACACCGGUCUUCGAUUCCACAACAGUAAGUGAAGUGUCAGCCAGAGAGAGUGAUCCCCAGGGGAGUGAAGAAUGAUUGGGUAGGAGCAAAUCCAUCGCGUUUUGGAGAAAUGAGUGUUUCGGGUUAGUGGUUUUCUGAGCGACAGCUAUGCCGGAAAACGCAGCGGCUCCGGCGGCAAAGGCGCAAGCCACGACGGUAGUGGCGGAGAAAGAGCGGGAUGUGGUGGCAUGGGAAAUAUCGUUGGGGCGUUUGGGCUGAGAAAACAAGAAUGGGAAACGAAGUGAAACCAUGAUUGAUUUUUCG